AUCACAAAAGACGGAUCGAAUUGUAAAGCAAAGCAGAGGAACCACAUGUUAUCAAACCACGAAAUGACACCAUCUCGUACAAUUACAGUUGUAUCCUCUUCUUUAAGCCACCCACCACCGUUCGCAUCCCCCACAACACAAAGAAAAAUAUCUCAUCCACCAACCUGCAUCCCCUCCCCUUUUAUCCAACAACAACUACAACAACAAGAAAGAAAGAAAGAAAAAAUAUGGCGGUGGUGAUCAUAGAUGGCUCAACAGUACGUGACUUCGUGAACGAUGAAGCCCACUUCAAGAAGAGCGUGGAUGAAACUUUUGCCAAGCUUGACCUCAACAGCGAUGGAGUUUUGUCCCGUUCUGAGCUUCGAAAGGCUUUCGAGACCAUGCGUUUGAUCGAAUCCCACUUUGGAAUCGACAUCGUUACCCCUCCAGAGCAGCUCACCCAGUUGUAUGACUCCAUAUUUGAGAAAUUUGAUUGUGAUAAGAGUGGAACGGUUGAUCUUGAAGAGUUUAGGUCUGAGAUCAAGAAGAUCUUGCUUGCUAUUGCUGAUGGUUUGGGCUCAAGUCCUAUCCAGAUGGCUCUUGAGGAUGAUAACCAGAACUUUCUCAAGCAAGCAGCUGAUCUUGAAGCCUCUAAGCUUCACCAGCCUUCUCCUGCUUAAUUAUCCCUGCCUUUGCUCAUACUUGUACUGUCAAAUACUGUAGCCUGUAUUGUGUUGCUGCUACUUUCUAUGUUUUCCAUAAUUGAAAUAAAAUUUUGGCCUAUCUUAAUUUCUUUAAUUCUCACCCAUAAAAGGAUGGAAUGGCUAUUCAGAUGAAUCUGUACUAUGCUGCAAUUCAGAUGGUAAAUGGCAAUACAGGCUCUAACAAAGGUUGCAAAUGGCAAUUCAAUUCCAAGAGGGGCUAAGAAUGAUGUCUAUUCAGUCACAGAAUGCAAGUGUUUCCAUUUACAUACCUGUUCAUUACUGCUUGAAAGGGUCAUUGGAGGCAUUCAUAAUCAAACUAGUAGAACAAUCGUCAACUUUCACAACUGUGACUAUUGCCCUACGGUAACAAUAAAGAUGCACAAGAAGAAACUUGCACGAAAAAUAUAUAACCAACAAUUUCAAUCGAGUGCAGAUCCCUGUCGGAGGUUGUCAAGCAAAAGCAACAGCCUGUCAACAGUCAGAAUCGAAGAAGAAACUAAAGGGUAACGAGGAUUUGCUUGGAAAAUGUAGCAUAUAAACUGACAAUGUCAGCAACAAACAUUUUUCCAACGAUCUCAUUCCAUAGAAAAUCCACAUAAUUUGGAGUGCCUAAUUAGCAUCAUCAUCAUCAAUUGCAUCAUUUGAACUGGAGUCAUCAUCAUCAGGUAGACUUUCCAAACUGGUAGAUUGCCCUAGACAAGUUGUAAAUGAAUAAGAUUUUAUACAUGGAAUGGUAAAAACUUGAAGCUGAAACACAGUUGAAUUAAUGACCUGCCGUGUCAAGUGGCUGCAGCCAAUCUUGAAGACAUAUCAAGGCUUGUAUUGUCUUCUGUUUUAGUGAAUUUCGACAUGGGUUUAUCACCGGACAACAUAUAGCCUUCAGACCUCCAUUUGGUAGCAUUGGAAGUUUUUCAAAGACAUCCCACACCUUAGACAUUGUUUUUGUCCGCUUAAAGGAGGUCUCAUAUUCUUCAGUAUCCACACCUAAAGUUUCAGUACUUGCAAUUGUAUCUUUCUUGAAAAUAUCUGCGAGAUGUAAGAGUUGUUCAAAUUAUAAGAAAGCAACAAACCUGUUUAAGAUGCAAGAUAUAUUACAAAAUAGCACAUUACAAGAGAAAGUUCAGAUUGUAACAUGCAGGAAAAGAAAGGUAAGUUGUACAAUCCACUCAUUUGAAAUCAAAAUAAUAAACUAUUCAACUUAGUAAAGAAGUAAAACCAUAUGAAAGAAAGUGAAAUUGCAAAUGAAAGAAAAUCCUUCCAUAAUUGUUACGAGAAAACAUGAAAUAUCAUAAAGGGGAUGGAUGAACAAGAGCUCCCAAAACGACUUUUAAUUGUCAAGUCUUAUGCAGCCUACAAGGUCAUCCUUUUUAAUGGGUCAAGCAAACAAAAAGAUUAGGUAAGAAUUCCUUACUACAAAGCAUGAAUAGAUAGGGCGGAUCCUUAUUUAUUAAGAAGCCUUUGUUUAGAUCCUCCUCCAAAUCAGGUCUACAUGAAUGAAACUUUGCAAUAUUUGUAAAAGUGCAGCACAAAUUCAGCAUAUCAACUAUAUGAAUGACUGAAAGAGAAACCAAUAAUCUGUAAUAGUAAUAGUAUUUUAGCAUUGAACCAAGUCCUCUAUACGCUGCAGUCGCCCCUUAGCUGUCUCGCACUGGUCUUCUUCCACUUAUAUUUUCUAGGCAGUGAGUGGUGUUAAGAUCCCAUACUGAUUUGAAAUAAGGGUAAUAUGCCCCAUAUAUGAUCUUGGACACUCCUCCCAUUUUGAGCUAGCUUUUAGAGUAAGUCAGGCCCCGCCUAUUUUCUUAUAAUAGUAUCAGAGCCUCCCCAAUCAAUGUUUAGGCCUUCCAUGAGUAUUUCACGCUCCAGUGUUCGAUCCUGAGCGUGAGGGGGUGUGUUGAGAUCCCAC
rnacentral:misc_RNA from 1 species